rnacentral:rRNA from 1 species
UGGGGAAUUUUGGACAAUGGGCGAAAGCCUGAUCCAGCAAUGCCGCGUGUGUGAAGAAGGCCUUCGGGUUGUAAAGCACUUUUGUCCGGAAAGAAAUCCUUGGCUCUAAUACAGUCGGGGGAUGACGGUACCGGAAGAAUAAGCACCGGCUAACUACGUGCCAGCAGCCGCGGUAAUACGUAGGGUGCAAGCGUUAAUCGGAAUUACUGGGCGUAAAGCGUGCGCAGGCGGUUUGCUAAGACCGAUGUGAAAUCCCCGGGCUCAACCUGGGAACUGCAUUGGUGACUGGCAGGCUAGAGUAUGGCAGAGGGGGGUAGAAUUCCACGUGUAGCAGUGAAAUGCGUAGAGAUGUGGAGGAAUACCGAUGGCGAAGGCAGCCCCCUGGGCAAUACUGACGCUCAUGCACGAAAGCGUGGGGAGCAAACAGGAUUAGAUACCCUGGUAGUCCACGCCCUAAACGAUGUCAACUAGUUGUUGGGGAUUCAUUUCCUUAGUAACGUAGCUAACGCGUGAAGUUGACCGCCUGGGGAGUACGGUCGCAAGAUUAAAACUUAAAUGAAUUGNCGGGGUC